CUUUAUCCAUUUACUUGGUCCAAUACUAUAACCCACUCCCAUACAUAUUGAUGGGGGAUCUCGCCCUUUCUGGUGCUGUCUCCUGUUUUCUGCUGUCAGAAACUUAUGGGAAGGCGUUUCCAGAGACCAUAUCACAAAUGCAGCUAAUAUGC